rnacentral:rRNA from 1 species
CCUACGGGUGGCUGCAGUAAGGAAUAUUGGUCAAUGGGCGCAAGCCUGAACCAGCCAUGCCGCGUGCAGGAAGACGGCCCUAUGGGUUGUAAACUGCUUUUGUCAGGGAAUAAACCUGUCUACGAGUAGGCAGCUGAAGGUACCUGAAGAAUAAGCAUCGGCUAACUCCGUGCCAGCAGCCGCGGUAAUACGGAGGAUGCAAGCGUUAUCCGGAUUCAUUGGGUUUAAGGGGUGCGCAGGCGGAUGGGGAGAAAUCCCACAGCUCAACUGUGGAACUGCCCUUGAUACUGUUAGUCUAGAGUAUAGUUGAAGUUGGCGGAAUGUGUCAUGUAGCGGUGAAAUGCUUAGAUAUGACACAGAACACCGAUCGCGAAGGCAGCUAGCUAAGCUAUAACUGACGCUCAUGCACGAAAGCGUGGGGAUCAAACAGGAUUAGAUACCCUUGUAGUC